GGCUGCCUGGCGAAAUGGCAUCGCGUCUGACUACGAUACGGUAAUCAGGAGAUUGCAGGUUCGACCCCUGCGGCGGUCA